rnacentral:lncRNA from 1 species
ACAUUAUUUCAUUCCCUACAAUAGCUCUGUGGAGUGGAUACCACCAUUAUCUCAGUUUUACAGGUGAGAAAACUGAGGCUCAGAGAAAGCAAAGUAAUUUACACAGUGUUUCUCAAAGAGAAGGUAUGAAUUCUAGCCCAAGUCAAGUAGGAGGUAAGUACUCCAUGGGGAAGCAAUCUGAUCAGUAGGCAUGGAACAAACAUUCCCUUCUAGAUUAUUUUGUUCAUGUAUGGCUCAGCUUCCAGUCUUGGUUGGGAAAACAUGAACAAACUGAAAAACUCAAAUGCUACAAGUCUUAUCAAUUUGGGGAGUGGGCUCAGGAUUCACAGAACCCAGGUUGGGUUGGGCACUUACACCAGGAAACCUUGUAAAUCGUGGGAAAAAACCAAAUAUGAUGAUGCAAAUGCAGAAUUUCACUGUAAAUAUCUUAAAUCCAAGCUGUAAGAGCUCCCUACUCUGUUACAGAUGAAUUAAGAUUGUUUGCUAAUUGUAUGACUAAGGGUAAACCACUUUAUUUCUUAACUCUUAGUUUUCUUCUUCUGUAAAAUGAAGUUAAUAAUACCUCUUAGAAUUGUUGAAAGUAUCAGUGUAUGUGAAAGUGCUUUGUAAACUGUGCAGGAAGAUAUAUAGAUAUGCAGAUUAUAACAGAUGGGUCAUAAUAGAAAUCCCAUUUCUUUAUCAGGUAUAUACUUUGUUGCUUGAAUUCAAUGAGUGACACCAAGGAUCAAAAAGGAAAAGGACACUAGUAGCUCUCA